rnacentral:rRNA from 1 species
GCGUAACGGAGGAGCACGAAGGUUAGCUAAUCCUGGUCGGACAUCAGGAGGUUAGUGCAAUGGCAUAAGCUAGCUUGACUGCGAGCGUGACGGCGCGAGCAGGUGCGAAAGCAGGUCAUAGUGAUCCGGUGGUUCUGAAUGGAAGGGCCAUCGCUCAACGGAUAAAAGGUACUCCGGGGAUAACAGGCUGAUACCGCCCAAGAGUUCAUAUCGACGGCGGUGUUUGGCACCUCGAUGUCGGCUCAUCACAUCCUGGGGCUGAAGUAGGUCCCAAGGGUAUGGCUGUUCGCCAUUUAAAGUGGUACGCGAGCUGGGUUUAGAACGUCGUGAGACAGUUCGGUCCCUAUCUGCCGUGGGCGCUGGAGAAUUGAGGGGGGCUGCUCCUAGUACGAGAGGACCGGAGUGGACGCAUCACUGGUGUUCGGGUUGUCAUGCCAAUGGCACUGCCCGGUAGCUA